rnacentral:rRNA from 1 species
GUGGCGGCGACGGGUCGGGUCGAUAAAUAAAUAGUGGUCCUCAGGUCUCGGUGGACGGGGGUUGGUUCUUUUUGUGGUUUCCCACUCGGUUCCCGGCGACGGAGGCGGGUGGUUGGCGGCUGCGGGGGAGUUGGGGCGGGGGAGCCCGGCGCGAAGCGGCGGCGGCGAGGGGAUGAAGUAGCCGCGGGACGACGACAGAUGCGGGGCAGGGUGAGGGACGGCUGACUAACCCAGAGGAAGGAAGGAAGGUCAACCUGUACGGUAGUCGACAAUGGUACUGAAGUCAGUCACGAGUCCGGCGAAACCAAAGUUCCGGUUCCUCGGUACCGUAGUGUUCAAUGCCACAGAAUUUCCGCAGCAGAAGUAGUCAAUUGAAGCUUAACCCUAGGAGUAAGGACCCGUUCUGGUGUAGAGAAGCCCGUAGACAAUGGUGUUCCCAACACGGUUUCCGUUUCAGACGCCGAGUCUAUGAUGGACUCCGUAGAAUGUUUCACCGUCAUGAACCACGACGACCCCCGUAGCCCGUCGGUAACCCGGACAAUUAGUUCUACAGAGGAGACCAGAGUCUUGACGCGGACAUACUAUAACGCUUACAGUUCCCUCAGCGACGGCUAGAGUCGGUGACGUUGUGUGGAAGAGUCCAGUACCUGAAAUGACCGGGACGUCUUAAUCGGUUGACGAACUUUCCACACCUACAACAACAGUAGGGACGACCCCAGGGUUCUUUCGGUCCGUACUGAGCACUACUGGACAAGUUGUAGUUGCGCCCGUAGCAGUUCAGCGAAUAACUCCGACAACGUCUGUUAACGGGACUCCGGAAAUAGGUAUAAUAGUCGUUGGGUCAGUUGAGGUGUCACGGCUAACGACGACUCUAAGACUUUGUCUUCCCACAGAUGUUGGGGUUCUUCGAAAAGCCUCAAAGGUGGGAUCUACAACAGUCUCGAUUGUGUAAACAUCGAGUCUUCUUCCUGGAGUUCGAGUAACUGCAACUACAGGGUCAACAACCACCAGUACGACCUUAAUGUUAGGAUGGAGACAACAGGUUCUGAUCCGGUAGACAGUGGAAGUGCCUACUCCUUUGGCUUCUCGACUGUUUCUCCUAUGUCUUACGUCCCUGUCUCCACCACCUCCGCUUUCGGCCACGACCUAGACGAUGGGACAGGUACCGUAUACGGCGGCGGUCUAAACAGCUCAGUAGUGAGGCACGUGACCGACCACUAGGUCUACAAAUGCUCACGUGCAUACAGGUCAGGCUCGAUUGACUCGACGGUAAGAAACGCAGGUCUCAAUUCUAACCCUUCUUACCACAGCUCAGGUAGUAGAGAAGGCUGGACCUCCCUCACUGGCUAAUGCUCCGGUUCCGUGAGCUCCGCAACUUCGGACUCGACUUCCGGUCGUAGCUCUUCCCGUAGCUCAAACGCGUGUUCGUCGUCCCUCGACGGCGCAGGCAAACUCCAUUUCCUCUUGCUAUUGACGCAUGCUUCUCUUAUUAUUUCCGUUUUACUAACAGGGACAGAAUUCAAAACGUCGGAUCUCACAAAUGUAGUACAUCCUUCCUCAUACGGGACCUCGUCGAUAUAAAGAGUCAACAGCCAGUUAAAGAAUACUAAGAUCUAACGUAUACCCGCACUUCGGGGCUUGAGCGAGGGACGAGGCCCCGGAACAAAACAAACUGUGUAAUGUGGACGACGAGAACAUCGAAGGCUUCAACUGUUUGGCACCUUAUUAUUAUUUCCGUAAAGAAACUAUCAACGAGCCUUGGAGAAUACACCCUUGAACAUGAUGAUACAACACCAGUGGUAGUCCUAAGGCAACAGUCAGAACAAUAAUAGCUACACUCGUUACACAGACACGCACACUCUACCUGCCGACCUUCUCAUGGUUACUUCGGGAAAGAUGUCUAGGUCCCUACACUAACAGAACAAGUAGGUAUAGUGCUCCAUUAACAACAUAUGAGUUGUCGUCUACUUAGAGAUUUAAGUGAUUCGAGGGUCCCAUAGCUAAACCGGCCGACAAUGGCUAAAUCUAACCCAGUUCACGCCCCUCCCUCCGGAAACGACCAGUUCGCGCCCCUCACAGCACCUCCGACCCUCCGUAACCGUCUUAUGCACGACACUCCAGAAGAAAGGAG